UUUCCGUAGGUGAACCUGCGGAAGGAUCAUUACCGAGUGAGGGCCCUCUGGGUCCAACCUCCCACCCGUGUUUAUCGUACCUUGUUGCUUCGGCGGGCCCGCCUCACGGCCGCCGGGGGGCACCCGCCCCCGGGCCCGCGCCCGCCGAAGACACCAUUGAACGCUGUCUGAAGAUUGCAGUCCGAGCAUCUUAGCUAAAUCAGUUAAAACUUUCAACAACGGAUCUCUUGGUUCCG
rnacentral:misc_RNA from 1 species